UACGUAGGGUGCGAGCGUUGUCCGGAAUCAUUGGGCGUAAAGGGCGCGUAGGUGGCGGGACAAGCGUGCGGUGAAAGCUCGGGGCUCAACCCCGAGUCGGCCGUGCGAACUGUUUUGCUUGAGCACUGUAGAGGCAGGCGGAAUUCCGGGUGUAGCGGUGGAAUGCGUAGAGAUCCGGAAGAACACCGGUGGCGAAGGCGGCCGGCUGGGCAGUAGCUGACACUGAGGCGCGACAGCGUGGGGAGCAAACAGG
rnacentral:rRNA from 1 species